GACGAACGCUGGCGGCGUGCCUAACACAUGCAAGUCGAACGGAGAUGUUUAUUUCGGUAGAUAUCUUAGUGGCGCACGGGUGAGUAACGCGUGAAUAACCUGACCCGAAGAGGGGGAUAAACACCUGGAAACAAGUGCUAAUACCGCAUAAGACCACAGACCGGCAUCGGUCAGAGGUCAAAGGAGAAAUCCGCCUUGGGAGGGGUUCGCGUCCCAUUAGGGUAGUUGGUGAGGUAACGGCCCACCAAGCCGACGAUGGGUAGCCGAGCUGAGAGGCUGAUCGGCCACACUGGAACUGAGACACGGUCCAGACUCCUACGGGAGGCAGCAGUGGGGAAUAUUGGGCAAUGGGGCGCAAAGCCUGACCCAGCAACGCCGCGUGAGGGAAG
rnacentral:rRNA from 1 species